rnacentral:misc_RNA from 1 species
UUUCCGUAGGUGAACCUGCGGAAGGAUCAUUAAUUAUAUAAGUCCACAGGGCAUGCUUUCCAAACGGAUCGCGCUUGCUGUGUAAACCCUACCUACCCUUUCUGUUUGCGUAGCCAUUUUUUCCUCGGCCGGCUUGCCUGCCAGUAGGACCCUCUUAAACCCUUUGUAAUUGCACUCAACGUCAGAUACAACGUAAUCGAUCCAACUUUCAACAACGGAUCUCUUGGUUCUG